AUACGGAGGAUCCGAGCGUUAUCCGGAUUUAUUGGGUUUAAAGGGUGCGCAGGCGGGAGAUUAAGUCGGCGGUGAAAUUUUGCAGCUCAACUGUAAAAGUGCCUUCGAAACUGGGUUCCUUGAGUGUGGAUGAAGUAGGCGGUAUUUGUGGGGUUGCGGGGAAAUGCAUAGAUAUCACGAGGAACUCCGAUUGCGCAGGCAGCUUACUAAACUACUACUGACGCUCAGGCACGAAGGCGUGGGGAUCAAACAGGAUUAGAUACCCUGGUAGUCCACGCAGUAAACGAUGAUUACUAGCUGUUUGCGAUACAAUGUAAGCGGCUGAGCGAAAGCGUUAAGUAAUCCACCUGGGGAGUACGUUCGCAAGAAUGAAACUCAAAUGAAUUGGCGGGG
rnacentral:rRNA from 1 species